CGCCACAUUGGCUUACGUAACACCAGACGUUCGCUUCCGUUACAUUCGGCACUGGUUCCAUUGAGACUACAGUUGCAUCCAGUCUACGCUUCGUUGACUCAGAAGAAUUACGCUCUACACAUCGUUGAAGAAUUGCAUCCAGUCUACACUUUGUUGGUUGGGUGUAUCCUGUCCUGGGAUUUUUUGUCCAACAACUUACUCUUUUUUUUUAUACGACGACUACUACUACUACUACUACUACUACUACUACUAGUCUUGUAUCAAUGUAUUUUUUUAGUACAUAGGCUCUGUCUCCUCCUGUUUGUCAUUUGUAUUGUUAUAUGUGACUAAAUAACGACUGCAAGGACAACUUUGAAGUGACUUUUCUACUGAAACCUGUUCCUGGACUUUUCGCCAACUGGGAAGGUGCGCCCCGGAAGGCCUGAGACUUUUCGCCUUUUCAGGGAAAUGUGCGCCAUGUGAGGCCCCAGACUUUUCGCCUUUUCAGGGAAAUGUGCGCCCUGUGAGGCCCCAGACUUAAGAUUCGUUUAGAAGUGAACGGAGGUUUGAACGCUUGAGAAUUGAACUGAGAAUUGAGCUGGGAAUUGAACUGAGAAUUGAUCUGAGAAUUAAGUGAGAAUUGAGAGAACUUGCUGAUAGAGGUAAGUGAUCACCCUCUGAAGCUUGAAGAAGAACUUGCUCAAAGUUGAAAGGAAGAAUUUUGUAAGUGUAUUGAUUUAAGCAAAGGAGCAAGUAUUUGGUAAAAGUUAAGUAUCAUAGUAUAAGUCUAUUAUAUUUGUAAAUACUUGAAGUGUGAAGUUAUUUCACCAGAUUGUAAAUACUUGUAAUACUUAUUCACAAAAAAGUGAAUAACAUCACAAUAUAAAUUCCAUAAACUACCUGUUCAGGAUAAAUUUGUUUGUUUUCUUGUAGUAUUAUUCUUUGACAAAAACAUUUUAACUUGUCUAUUGUGUACUAAUUAAACCUAUUUUCAUAAACACUUAAUAAA